UGGGUCGGCAAGGCGAUCGCGGCAUCGGCAACGAUGACGAGGAACGUCCGGGCUCCACAGAGCAGGGCGGUGGAUAACAUCCACCCGGGGUAACCCGCGAGACAGUGCAACAGAGAAUAGACCGCCACCGGUUUUCCGGGGGUAAGGGUGAAACGGUGGGGUAAGAGCCCACCAGCGACCGGGGUGACCCGGCCGGCUUGGUAAACCUCGCUCGGAGCAAGAUCAGACAGGAAACCAUGGGGCUGCUCGUCCCGUUUCCGGGUAGAUUGCUUGAGCCCGUCGGCAACGGCGGGCCUAGAUAGAUGGUCGCCCAUGAGGGUUUCCCUCGGGACAGAACCCGGCGUAAGAGUCGGCCCAUUCC
rnacentral:RNase_P_RNA from 1 species